GAAACUCUUUGAUACAGUGAGAACGACAGCACCUCAUCUCUUCUGCUCAAGACUGAGCAGCGUUGACUUCUUGUGCUUUUAUUUCUCCUCAGGAGCCAGAGCAAUUUCAGGAGACAUGGUGGGGUUUCUGGAAAUUCUCUUCGCUUGCCUCUUGCCAUCUAUGCUGUGGGCCAUUCACCUGGAGCAAGUACCAAUCUCCAUCAUAAAGAAGCCACAUGAGGACACCGUUGCUGAAUUCACCUGCAAAUUGUCUGACACGUUAGAGUCUACCAAUAUCCACUGGUACCGAGCCCCAACUGGAGGGGCUCCACAGAGGCUGCUCUACCUUUCUUACUCCAAGCCUGACCCUAGCUGGGAUGCCGGCUUCUCCAGCAAGAAACUCACCGCUCAUUUUCAAGGCUGUAGCAUCUGCAAACUGUUGGUGCACAAGCUGGAAAAGGCAGACAGCGGCCACUAUUACUGUGCCGCCUGGGAUUAUACACAGUGCCACAAACCUCCUGCAGCCCAGCACAAAAAAACUCCAAAACAACAAAACCACACACACCACAGCCUUGGGGGCUGGGCUCAGCUCUCACAUUACUGCUGCAGCAGAGCUCACCGAGACCCACCCUCAGCCCACUUUAUAGAUUGCCAACUUUCUAAUCACACAAAAGCAACCCUAACACCAUUUUCCCGCCCCUUCUGAGGCCCCGCCCCCCACUCACUCCAUUCCCUCUCCCUUCAUGGUUCACGGUCCCCCACCCUCACUCACUUUCACCGGGCUGAGGCAGGGGAUUGGGGUGCAGGAUGGAGUGAGGGUUCCAGCUGGUGGUGUGGACUCUGGGGUGGGGCCAGUGAUGAGGGAUUUGGGGUGCAGGAGGGGGCUCCAGGCUGGGGCUGAGGGGUUCGGAGUGCGGGAGGGGGCUCAGGCUGGGAGAGGGGGUGUGGGCUCCGCCUCUGGGUGUAGGCCCUGGGAUGGGGCCAGGAUAAGAAGUAUGAGUGCAGGAGGGGGCUCAGGCCUGGGGCAGGGGGUUGGGGUGUGGGAAGAUGUUUGGGGUGCAGGCUCCAGCCAGGUGGCGCUUACCUCACACGUCUCCGGGUCAGCGGUGCAGUGGAGCUAAAGCAAGCUCGCUGCCUAUCUCAGUUCUGUACGGCUCAUGUCCAGCUCCUAGGCGGAGGGGGGUUCCCAGCCAAUGGGAGCUGCAGAGCCAGCGCUCGGGGUGGAGGCAGCGCACGGAGCCCCUCUGGCUGUCCCUGAGCCUAUGAGCCACAGGGAGAUAAGCUGGCCACUCCCGGUAGCUGCAUGGAACCAGGGCAGGCAGUGCUGACCAGAGCCGCCAGGGUCCAGUUUUGACUGGGUGUUGCAGUGGAAAACUGGAUGCCUGGCAACCCUAUCUAUGGGGCAGACAGCCUCUCAAACACAUACCAUAGCCAAUACAGCAGACUGACUCCUGCCCCAGAUCCACCCAGCCACGCUGAUGCUGAUCCCAGGAACUGGAAGGAGGAGCUUUCCUAGUGAGUGGCACUGGGCCCACUUCCCCAGCGUCUGCCUAGCAAUACCGGCUCCAUCUCUAAAGGCAGAACAAGCAAUUGUCUUGUGAUGUGACUAUUUCACAAGAGACUUGAGAAUGAUGGCGGGGGAGGAGAGAAUAAGGGACAACAGGGUGGGGAGGAUAAAAAAUUGCAGAGAAUUUGGGGUAGGUGAAUGAGGAAGCUGAGGGGAGGAGAAUUUCUAGUUUGCUCACGUGAGCAAGUCACUGAAUGCAUGUCCACUGAGAAUUUUUAGCAAUAACUGGAGCAUUAACCAGGGUGCAGGAGUUUUUGCUAUCUCACUGUUUAACCCUAUUCAAACCAGGUCUGAAUCAUGCAGGGUACAAACACCUGCAUCCACUGUGCUCUCUCCCUCCUACUGCUGUCACCAUCACUGGAGUUGCAACGUUGCUGGCCAAGAGAACAAUGGUAGACAAGGUGUGGUGUUAAGAUGUUGCUUGUAAUUAUUAAAAUUGGGAGCACUGGGUGUUGGGAGUCUGAAAGGACAGGAAACUGGAAGGAGGGGGGAGGAGUUGAGAGUCUGAGAGAAAGCUACAGAGGGUGCAGCAGCAGCUUGGUAAAGAGGUUUCCACUUUGAAAAUAAAGUCCUGUUGAAGCUUGUUAGUAACUUGCCUGGUUGAUACAACACAAAGGUACAGAAAGGUGCUGAUUGAAUCCCCUCAGUGUGAUGCUCUAUCUCUCGCUAGCCAUGGUUAGGCAACAGAAAGAGACUGAAUAGCCUGCUACAGCCUUGGCUAACACUGCUGGCUCUUUGAGCUCAUGCUUUCACUCCCAGAUCCCUCAACCCACCCAGGGACAUGACAUUACACUAACAUAGACAAGGCCUUAGAACCAGUUUUACCCCAGUUUCACACUCAGCAAUGGUGGGUGCACUAGUACACACAGGAUGCAGGAAUUCUGUGGCCAUGGCAGCAGGGGUCAAGGGUAGACAAUGAAACGUAACAGAACUAACUUUACUGCACGUUAUACACACCCAGAGAAGCCCUCAGUGGAUUUAUGCAAGAGAAGCAGUACAAUUCCUGACAACUUUCAAGCUCUUCAAACCAAACAAGAAAGACACAGGGAGCUUCCUUGCCACUUAUCAAAUCCCUAAUGAGCAGGUUGGCUGCACAUCCAUUUUAUGUUACAUUGGUAAUUCAGUGAGCUUACUCUAUUCUCUAUAUUGCAGAUCUAAUCUAUUUUUUAUCUAAUCUAUUUAAGUAGCUAAUUGUUUGAAUAAGGCAUUCCUAAAAUGUCCAUCACCAUGGUAUCUGAGCACUGAACACAGUAAUGUGGACUCUGACAGCACUAAGAGGACAUCAAAGUGGGGCCUGCCUUUUGCAUCUCCCAGGUUCUAUGAAGCUUUAUUUGCUUUUCCUUCUUUGCAUAUAUAUCUGUUGAACACCCAAGUGCUUGCAGUUGUUUCUUUUAAUUGCAGCAGGACAUUUUUUAUCUAGUUACAUUUUUUAAAUGCAAAUAUAGUAAUAUUAUUUCUAUUGAAGUAGCACCCAAACUGAUGGAGACCUCUUUGUGCUCGGAACUGUACAAUCAUCAUAAAAAUACUCCCUGCUCUAAGAGAGUUUUACAAAUCAUGUAUUCAUGUUUAUUUGAUUCCAUAUGAAGGAUGGAGGGAAAGGGAUAUAACUUUCCUAUUAGAUGGUAGAUUGUUUGGGGCAGGAGCUAUGUCUUUUUGCACAUCUGAACACCACCUAGGACAGUGGGACCCUAAUCCUGAUUAGGGCAUUUGGUUUCCACUAUAAUAGCAAAAUUAUUAUUUGCAUGGACUUAGGGCCUACAGGCCCCAACUGAGAGGGGGUCCUACUGUGCUAGAUGCUUUAGACCAGAGAUGUGCAAACUACGGCCCGCGGGACCGUCCUGCCCGGCCUUUGAGCUCCCAGGCAGGGAGGCUAGCCCCUGGCCCCUGCCACCGCUGUCCCCCGAAGCCACGCCAUCGCGCGGGUAGGACUCUGGGUGGCGGGGCUGCGCACUCCCACAGGGCAGCACAUCUGGGUCAGAGCGGCAUGGUAAAGGGACUGGGGGGCUCCAGGGAGCAGUCAGGGGGUGGUUGGAUAGGUGUGGGAGUCCUGGGGGGCCUGCCAGGGGGUGGGGGUGUGGAUAGGGAUCGAGGCAGUCAGGUGACAGGGAGGGUUGGAUAGGGGGCAGGGGUCCUGGGAGGGGGCAGUCAGGGGACAAGGAGCAGGGGGGUUGGGAGGGGUCAGAUAGGGGGUGGGGCCAGGCUGUCUGGGGAAGCACAGCCAAAAGAAACAAUAGUUCUCAUUUUACAGAUGGAGAACAGGAGAUUAUAGGCCAGAUUUUCAAGAAGAGCUGAGCACUUCUCCCUCCAGCAGAACUCGACAGAAGCAGUGGGUACUCUGCACCUCUGAAAAUCAGGCUCUUGGUAACUUGCCUAUGGUCACGCACGACGUUUGUGGCGUUGCUGUGAAUUGAGUUCAGAUGUCCCGAGUCCUAGUUUAGUGUCUUAACACAGGGCAUUAAUGGUGGGGGAGUAAACUACAAUUCGCUAAGUGGAUCUCUCCUUCCAUGGAAGGAGAAUGCACUAGAGGCCUAAAUUCUCAGAGGUAUUUAGUCUCCUAACUUCCAUUGAAAUCAUCCUAAUCACCACAUUAGGAUCUGGACCUAAGAGCCUAAAAUGGUUAGAGAGAGUCUCUGUCUCUCUCUCUCACACACACACACUCCUUCUCCUCACCCCCAACCCAACAGGAAACCAGCCAAUACAGUAAGAACAGAAGCAAUAACUUCAUUUCUUGCUUUCUUCAGUCAGGACUGGGUAACAGUAUUUUUCUUUUGACAAAAUUGAGCACCAUUAACGUUGAUAACUCUCCUUCCUGAAAAGGUACAGCAAGUUAAGGAGACUUGGUGGUAUGUCUGGAAGCCCUCUUUGCUUGCGUCUUCCCUGCUGUUCUGUGGGCCAUUCACCUGGAGCAGGAGCAGAUCUCUCUCACAAAGCAGCCACUUCAAGGCAGCUCUGCAACAUUCACUUGCAAGGUGUUUGGUGGAUCGGACUCUACCUACAUCCAC